AUGCCAGGGAGCGUGCCGCUGGCGCUGGGGCUGGACACGGUAGGGCUGCAGGUCCCGUGGUACUUCCGUUGCCCAAUCUCGCUGGAGCUCAUGCAGGACCCCGUCACCGUGGCGACCGGCCAGACCUACGACCGUGCCAGCAUCGAGUCGUGGGUCGCCACGGGGAACACCACCUGCCCCGUCACCCGCGCGCCGCUCGCCGACUUCACGCUCAUCCCCAACCACACCCUCCGCCGCCUCAUCCAGGAAUGGUGCGUCGCGCACCGAUCCCUCGGCGUCGAGCGCAUCCCCACGCCCAAGCAGCCGGCCGACCCGGACCUCAUCCGCUCCCUGAUCGCCCAGGGCCCUGCCCUCCCCGUCCUCAGGAAGCUCAGGGCGCUCGCCAGGGAGUCUGACAAGAACAGGCUCGUCAUGGCCACGCACGAGACCAGGGCGGCUCUGGUGGAAAUGGCGUUCGGGGGCAGCGCCGAGGAGGCUCAGGCGGAGGCCAUGGCGGUCCUUGCCCUGGUAGGGAUGGGGGAGGCGGAAGCUGUGGAUGUGGUGGGCAGGGAAGAGAGGGUCACCAGGCUUGGCAAAGUUCUUGGCAGCCAGGGGACGACCUUGGAGGCCAAGGUUAAUGCAGGUGCCGUCGUGGAGGCGGCUGCUGCGGUGUCUGGGGCGGAGGCCAGGGUGGUGCUUGGCGCAGCUGAUGGAGUCAUUGAAGGCCUGGUCGCGCUGGUGGACGAGAAGGCAAAUGCCCGUGCAGUGCGCAUUGGGAUCCGAGGCCUCUUUGCUCUCUGCCUGGCCAAGGAGAACAGACAGCGCGCCGUAUCAGCUGGUGCCGCAUCAGCUCUGGCCCGCCGAGUGGCGGAGGGCGGCUGCGUCGGCGAGCUGGAGCGUGCGCUAGCAGCGGUGGAGCGACUGUCCCGGACAGAGGGUGGCCGCGAGGCGGUUGUCUCGGGCGCUGGAGGUGGUGCCGCGGUGGUGAUCGCGCUAGUGCGCGCCAUGUCCGGGCGCGGCGCUGAGCAUGCUGCGGGCGCAUUGGUGGCCGUGGUGGGCGGGUCUGAGGGGCUGCAGCUGGAGGCCGUCCGAGCAGGUGCCAUGAGUCAGCUGCUCAUGAUGGUGCAAGGCGGCUGCUCGGAGCGUGCCAAACGCAAGGCGCAGCACCUCCUGAAGCUGCUCCGGUCUGCCUGGCCGACCACCGAUUCCAUGGCCAACUCGGCUGAUUUCCUCCAACCAUACUAA
rnacentral:rRNA from 1 species